CGUACAUGCGCGUAGCCUGAUGCAGCCUGCCGCGUGUGUGAUGAAGGCCUUCGGGUUGUAAACUGCUUUUGUACGGGACGAAAAAGCUCCUUCUAAUACCUGGGGCCCAUGACGGUACCGUAAGAAUAAGCACCGGCUAACUACGUGCCAGCAGCCGCGGUAAUA
rnacentral:rRNA from 1 species